rnacentral:rRNA from 1 species
GAGAUUUGAGAGGGGCUGCUCCUAGUACGAGAGGACCGGAGUGGACGAACCGCUGGUGUUCGGGUUGUCAUGCCAAUGGCAUUGCCCGGUAGCUAUGUUCGGAACGGAUAACCGCUGAAAGCAUCUAAGCGGGAAGCCGGCCCAAAGAUGAGUCAUCCCUGACCUUUAAGGUCUGGAAGGGUUGUUAUAGACGAUGACGUUGAUAGGCAGGGUGUGGAA